rnacentral:pre_miRNA from 2 species
CUUGGCACUGUCAGAUAGCACUGAAUAUUUUCAACCUUCAGUGGUUCUACAGUUCCAAAUU